AGAAAGAAGGAGAGAGAGAGUGGGAGAUAAGGAGAGAGAGAGAAGAAGCAAUAAGGUCUUCGAUUGCUUUUUCUUUUUCUUUUUCUUUUUCUUUUUCU
rnacentral:ribozyme from 1 species